rnacentral:rRNA from 1 species
UACGUAGGGGCAAGGCGUUGUCCGGAAUCAUUGGGCGUAAAGAGCGUGUAGGCGGUCCGAUAAGUCCGCUCUGAAAGCCCGGGGCUCAACCCCGGGAGGCGGGCGGAUACUGUCGGGCUAGAGUCCGGAAGAGGCAAGUGGAAUUCCUGGUGUAGCGGUGAAAUGACGCAGAUAUCAGGAGGAACACCGAUGGCGAAGGCAGCUUGCUGGGACGGUACUGACGCUGAGACGCGAAAGCGUGGGAGCAAACAGG